UACGUAGGUGGCAAGCGUUGUCCGGAUUUACUGGGCGUAAAGGGCGUGCAGGCGGUUUUUUAAGUCUAGGGUGAAAGCUCCCGGCUCAACUGGGAGAGGUCCUUGGAUACUGGAAAACUUGAGGGAUGCAGAGGAAAGUGGAAUUCCCGGUGUAGUGGUGAUAUGCGUAGAUAUGCGGAGGAACACCGAUGGCGAAGGCAAUCCCCUGGGCCUGCACUGACGCUCAUGCACGAAAGCGUGGGGAGCAAACAGG
rnacentral:rRNA from 1 species